GGAGGCGAAUAGUGCCUGGUGGUGCUCCUGGUCUUCAAAACCAGUGUGGGGCUCGAGAGAGUCCUGGGUGGGUUCGAUUCCCAUUCGCCUCCGCCA
rnacentral:tRNA from 1 species